CCUAGCACGCCCACGUGUCUGAAGGGAUGGUGAAGGAAGGGGAGGGAGGUCCCCGACAACUGACCUCAAUAUCUAAGACUCACUGUAGGAGUCAGGGAGAACGGCUUUGUGAGUCUCAGCUCCACUUACGUCAGGCUUGACUGUGAGAUGGCAGUUAUUAUGGUCUGGUGAAAUGAUGGUGUGAUUGGAUUAGAGCGUCAGAUGAGCUGGGUUUAAAACUUCCCUGUCCUGAAGACCCAUUGUUCACCUCUGAUUUGUCCUCAAAGGAGAAACCGGUGCCUCAAGUCAAUCUCUCCAUUCAGAAGCUUCGAAGAUGCAGCUCACCCUCUGUGCUUCUCUCUAGGCUUCAUUAUCUUUUUCACAGUGUCCUCAGAUUUGGCCUGUUGCAGCUGGCAGGACUCCCUUCACAUUCAAGACUGGACAGCAUUCUGCUGUGUAGGCAGGCCACACUGCUUCUCCACUCACCUGUGAAUGACUGCCUGGUCCCCUCUGUCUCAGCUACUGCUGUGAAGAUGGUCACACAAAUGUGUGUUCAGAAAGGCUGCCUCUGUAGAGAAGCCAGGAAGGAUACUGCUGGAGAUAGCAGAAGGUGAUGGCAGAGGCAUCUUGCAAGCACAUCUGUAGGCUGCACUGGCUGCUCUGUUACGGUCCUCAGUCCCAGGACAGAGGGCAGGGACACAGUGAAAAAGAAGAGAUAACCGUACUGCCUUCUGGAAUGUUCCAAAAGAAGCUGAGUGCUCGUGGCUGCCCCUCCCUGGAAGGAGCAUUGCUUUUCAUACUCCGAAGUUCCCUGACUCCAUCUCCCACAUCCUGUGAUCAACACUGAUAAACACAAAGGAACAAACAAAUCCACCCUCAGCUGACAAGACACCCAGCCUAGAAGGAAUGGCACUGGGGAAGGUGGCCGGCGUGAAUAAUUCAUGAAGGCGGGAAUCUGGCCUGGGCACAGAGUGUUCCAGUGGCAAGGGCCUGAAGGAGCUGCUGUGAAGAUGGGUUUUCUCUACAUCCUGCUCGUUCCCUGCAGCCAUCAGACAGAGUCUGCAGUGAGACAGGCAGACCAGACUAGACUCAGCCUUAGCAGCUGGGCUGUCUGUAGCCAGCCACCAAGCAGCCUCACUGUAAAUGGUAAUUCCAGACAGAAAUGGAAA